CGGACGGGUGAGUAACGCGUGAGAAUCUGGCUUUAGGUCUGGGACAACCACUGGAAACGGUGGCUAAUACCGGAUGUGCCCGUAAUUGGGUGAAAGGUUAACUGCCUGAAGAUGAGCUCGCGUCUGAUUAGCUAGUUGGAAGUGUAAUGGACUCCCAAGGCGACGAUCAGUAGCUGGUCUGAGAGGACGAUCAGCCACACUGGGACUGAGACACGGCCCAGACUCCUACGGGAGGCAGCAGUGGGGAAUUUUCCGCAAUGGGCGAAAGCCUGACGGAGCAAUACCACGUGAGGGAGGAAGGCUCUUGGGUCGUAAACCUCUUUUCUCAGGGAAGAACACAAUGACGGUACCUGAGGAAUAAGCAUCGGCUAACUCCGUGCCAGCAGCCGCGGUAAUACGGAGGAUGCAAGCGUUAUCCGGAAUGAUUGGGCGUAAAGCGUCCGCAGGUGGCGAUGUAAGUCUGCUGUUAAAGCGUCUAGCUCAACUAGAUAAGAGCAGUGGAAACUACAUAGCUAGAGUGCGUUCGGGGCAGAGGGAAUUCCUGGUGUAGCGGUGAAAUGCGUAGAGAUCAGGAAGAACACCAGUGGCGAAGGCGCUCUGCUAGGCCGCAACUGACACUGAGGGACGAAAGCUAGGGGAGCGAAUGGGAUUAGAUACCCCAGUAGUC
rnacentral:rRNA from 1 species